rnacentral:rRNA from 1 species
UGGGUCCUACGGGAGGCAGCAGUGCGGAAUAUUGGUCAAUGGGCGGAAGCCUGAACCAGCCAAGUCGCGUGAGGGAAUAAGGCCCUACGGGUCGUAAACCUCUUUUGCCGGGGAGCAAGGGCGGGGACGUGUCCCGGCCCGGAGAGUACCCGGAGAAAAAGCAUCGGCUAACUCCGUGCCAGCAGCCGCGGUAAUACGGAGGAUGCGAGCGUUAUCCGGAUUUAUUGGGUUUAAAGGGUGCGUAGGCGGGCUUUUACGUCAGCGGGAAAAAUUCGGGGCUGAACCCCGUCCGGCCGUUGAAACUG